GUCAGAGUGGCCGAGUGGUUAAGGCGCUGCGUUCAGGUCGCAGUCCACUAUGUGGGCAUGGGUUCGACUCCUAUCUCUGACA
rnacentral:tRNA from 1 species